UACGGGGGGAGCAAGCGUUGCUCGGAUUUACUGGGCGUAAAGGGCGCGUAGGCGGUCGUGACAAGUCACUUGUGAAAUCUCCGGGCUUAACUCGGAACGGUCAAGUGAUACUGUCGGACUAGAGUACAGAAGGGGCAACUGGAAUUCUCGGUGUAGCGGUGAAAUGCGUAGAUAUCGAGAGGAACACCUGCGGCGAAGGCGGGUCUCUGGGCAACAACUGACGCUGAGGAGCGAAAGCGUGGGGAGCGAACAGG
rnacentral:rRNA from 1 species